rnacentral:lncRNA from 1 species
GUCAGACUGCCUCCGGGGACAAGGAGGCUGUCAUGCUCUGUAUCCCUUGAGCAUAUAGCCACGCAUCCAGCCUUGUCCAUGAGCUUCUACUGACAGGCCAAAAAGAAAGAAAGAAGCACACGCUCAGGUCAGUGAUUCUCCAGAAGACCUCGGCAGACCCAGCGCUACAUAUUUGCUCUCAGCCUAGAGCCGUGAGAUGCAUUCUGUCACCUUACGUCAACUCUCUGAAGACAUCCUCAGUUACUCAAAAUCUCAGAAGUGCCGAAUGUUGGAUAUCUUCUAAGAAAGUGUGUGGACCACCUGAUUUCUCAUCAGAUACCUGUUUUUCCAUGGUUCCUCCACUCCCAUUCCCAAUGGGAGUUCUGCACAUACAACCACCUACAUUUUAUUUCAAAUUUAUAUUAAUAAAAUUCUAUAAC